rnacentral:vault_RNA from 13 species
GGGCUGGCUUUAGCUCAGCGGUUACUUCGCGUGUCAUCAAACCACCUCUCUGGGUGGUUCGAGACCCGUGGGCGCUCUCCAUCUCUCUU